AACUUUGCACACGACAGAUUUCUAGA
rnacentral:piRNA from 1 species